rnacentral:rRNA from 1 species
GGGCCCGCACAAGCGGUGGAGUAUGUGGUUUAAUUCGAUGCAACGCGAAGAACCUUACCAGGGUUUGACAUCCUGCGAAUCUCUUGGAAACAGGAGAGUCCUUCGGGAACGCAGUGACAGGUGGUGCAUGGCUGUCGUCAGCUCGUGUCGUGAGAUGUUGGGUUAAGUCCCGCAACGAGCGCAACCCACGUCUUUAGUUGCCAGCAUUCAGUUGGGCACUCUAGAGAGACUGCCGGUGAUAAACCGGAGAAGGUGUGGAUGACGUCAAGUCAUCAUGCCCCCUUACAUCUGGGCUACACACGUACUACAAUGCUACGGACAAAGGGCAGCAAGUUCGCGAGGACAAGC